ensembl:lncRNA
UUCCAUGGGGCUGUGCUAUAGGACUGUGCUAUGGAGCUAUGGGGCUGUGCCAUGGGGCUGUGCUAUAGGGCCGUGCUAUGGGGCUAUGGGGCUGUGCCAUGGGGCUGUGCUGUAGGGCUGUGCUAUGGAGCUAUGGGGCUCUGCCAUGGGGCUGUGCUAUAGGGCUGUGCUAUGGGGCUAUGGGGCUGUGCCAUGGGGCUGUGCUGUAGGGCUGUGCUAUGGGGCUGUGCUGUAGGACUGUGCCAUUGGGCUGUGCUAUGGGGCAGUGACGUAGGGCUGUGCUAUGGGGCUAUGGGGCUGCGCCGUGGGGCAGUGCUGUAGGGCUGUGCUAUGGGGCUGUGCUGUAGGACUGUGCCAUUGGGGUUGUGCUAUGGGGCUGUGCCAUGGGGCUGUGCUUUAGGGCUGUGCUAUGGGGCUGCGCCAUGGGGCUGUGCUGUAGUACUGUGCUAUGGAGCUAUGGGGCUGUGCCAUGGGGCUGUGCUAUAGGGCUGUGCUAUGGGGCUGUGCUAUGGGGCUAUGGGGCUGUGCCAUGGGGCUGUGCUAUAGGGCUCUGCUACGGGGAUAUGGGGCUAUGGGGCUGUGCCGUGGGGCUGUGCUAUAGGACUGUGCUAUGGAGCUAUGGGGCUGUGCCAUGGGGCUGUGCUAUAGGGCCGUGCUAUGGGGCUAUGGGGCUGCGCCAUGGGGCAGUGCUGUAGUGCUGUGCUAUGGAGCUAUGGGGCUGUGCUAUGGAGCUAUGGAGCUAUGGGGCUGUGCUGUAGUGCUGUGCUAUGGGGCUAUGGGGCUGUGCCAUGGGGCUGUGCUGUAGGGCUGUGCCAUAGGACUGUGCCAUUGGGCUGUGCUAUGGGGCAGUGACGUAGGGCUGUGCUAUGGGGCUAUAGGGC